AAAGCAGUAAUUUGCCAUUCCUCUAUUUUUCAGCUAAAUAAGAAAAAAGAACAAAUUAAAGCAUCAGCCUGAAGUAGAUACAUGUGUGUCACUACAUACCCCUAUGCUGUAUUAUACGCUUCCCACUCGCAGUUCUGAACCCUGGUAGAGAUGGUUUCACUGAAUCUGGCCCUGGCAACAAUAGACCUGAUAGAGGUGGCUUUGUAAAACUGAACCUGAUAAUAGUGGACCAGAGUAGACCUUGUGCAGCUGGCUUUGCUGAACCAGAACCUGGCAGCAGCAGAUCUGGUGGCAGCAACUUUGACAGACUGGAUUGGAGCAGACCUGCUAUUGCUGACUUGAUUGGACUGGGCCAUGCCUGGCAGAAGUGUAUGAGAGGCACUCACUUGGAUUGCCACAUAAUCUAACUGGAUUCUUGAGUCAAGUUUAGAUCCAAAAAAGCAGUGAUAAACACCAAGGAUGUAGGACAGAAGCAGCUCUCUUACCUAAAGAAUGGCUGGAAGUCUGCUGUCCUGAACUGUAUAUUAGACCUCAAGCCUUCCUGGUUGUGAAGAAGUGAUGUCUGCCAGAGUCUGCAGACAGCCUUCAGCAGAGGGAGAAACAGCAUUCGCUAGAUGCAGGGAGGAAGCCACCUGUCCUGAGAGUGGCCAAGAUGAACAGCUGGUGUGGCCUAUCUCCAGGAAAAACUAACAGAUCUAAGGGUUAAUAGAGUAAUAGGGAAGGCAUGGCUGGUGUGCUUUUAAGCAUGAUUGGGAAGGUUCCAAGGCUCAGUAUAUGUCAACUAGUGAGUAAAAGGGUUGAGAAAACAGAGAUGCCUAAAAAUUUACAUUGUAAAGGCACAACAUAUCAGUGCUU